UGUACAUGAUGAUUUAAAUAUUCACCAUCUUUCGACUGAUAUUUGUGAUGGUACUUUUUCUUACUGAAGUUAUUU